GGGGCCAUAGCUCAGCUGGGAGAGCGCGUCGUUCGCAAUGACGAGGUCGGCGGUUCGAUCCCGCCUGGCUCCACCA
rnacentral:tRNA from 268 species